GGCCGCCGACGAGGGGCGGGAUCCGAAGCCAGAUACCCCCGCCUCUCUCCCUCUGGCCCCGCCCCUCGCGCGCCGGCCCCGCCUCCAGGCCCAUUCCAAGAUGGCGGGGAUCCCCCUGUACUUUGUGGACUUGCAGGAUGACUUAGACGAUUAAUCACGUUAAGGACUGAUGGCUGGGGAAGGUGUUCCUGGAAAUGCAAGUUCGCAUUUGUGGUGACUGAAGCAUUUCCUUUCCAUUCAACAAACAUUUCUUGAGCACCAGCUGGUUCUGGGCCAGCCAUGCGCGGAGCCUGGGACCUACAGACUCGAACCUGAAACGGUGACGACUCUCAGGGAGCUCACAGUCCAGGGAGAGAGCCGACUUGUAAACAGAUAAUUACCAAACGCCGGGUUGCCUGCUCAUGAAGGAGGCCUGUACAAACCAUCACAAUAGCCAACAUUAAUGGGGGCUUACUGUGCGCUUCCCUUCCCCAUCUACAAGUUUCCUACUAACAAGAACUGGUGUUUACAGAAAACACCAUAGGUCAGGCGCAGUUUAAACCCUUUAUACACAUUAUUUCUUUUAGAAGGAGGCAACUUUAUUAAAGUAGAAUGACACUUGAAGGGGUCAGUGUUUAGGAGCAUGGGUCCUGAAGUCAGAUGGCCAGAGGGUGAAGUCCUGAGCCACUGUUUACUGGCUGUGUGAUCCUGGCCAAGUCACUGUACCACUUGGAGCCUCAUUGCCUCAUCAGUAUAAUGGGCAUAAUAGAAGUCCACCUCAAAAGGCUUCCGCGCAGGUUAAAUAAUAAAAGGUUUAGCGUGAAGCCUUGUACAUAGGACACGCUGGGUAAAUAUUAUCUGCCGUUAUUAUUGUUGUGAUCAUUAUUCAUAAUUAUUUCACACUGUGGGGCAAAGUACAGUGUUGGCCCCAGGUUUACAGAGCUGAAUGUUUCGGCCAGCAGGCAUCUUUGAAUGGAAGGACUGUAGCUGCUGUUAAGGCACCUCUCAUUCGCAGAUUCGAUAUUUGGCCCGGCUGGAAAAGCUGAUUUCUGGCUAUAUCAGUUAUCUAACAAACCACCCCAAAACUCAGUGGCUUAAAUCAACAGCAUUUUGUUAUUUCUAACAAUUCUGUGCCUUGACUGGGUGAUACAGAAGCUUCGUGUGUUCUCUGUGAACUCUGGGAAGAUAAGAAGGUCCAAAAUGGCUUUCCUCACGUGGCUCUUGGCCAGGAAAUCUUCUGGGACUGCAGGUCAGGGCCUCAGUUCUCUUCCAGGAGCUUCUUCCACUUGGCUAGCUUGGGCUUCUCACAGCGUGGUGACGGCAGGCAUUUGGACCUCUUUUCUGGCAGCUAGCUUCCUUUUGUCUUUUUUGUAUAUGUGUUCAAAAAGGAAGAGAUUACAUAGGAAAAAAUCUGAUUUUCCUUUGGCCCUGUUUGUGCGGAUAUUGGGUGUCUGAGACUUGUGGUAAAGAAUGCCAUAAACACUCUUUAGCAGACAGCUGAGGACUCGUCCCAGUGAAGAAGAAAACCAGCAUCGUGGCUCUGAACACACCCAUGCCAUGGAAGUCUUGUUGAUUAGCUGAGCCAACCUGAAAGGCUGCCUUUCCCACUGGGCUCAGUUUGAAGAGCUGACUUUUGCCGGCACAGACCCUGCUUUGUUGAGGAGCCCUUGACAAGUUGUUCAGCCUUCACGUCUCCUUUUUCCUGUUCGUGUGUUGGGGAUUAAAAGCAUGUACCUGUCUCCUCCCAACAGGAUGAGGUACGCAUUUUGCAAAUAAGGCUAGACUCCUUCUCAGCCACCAUCAACCAAUCUUCUAACAUAUUGAAGUGGACACAGACAGUGGGUCACAUCUGUCAUGUUUUCUCCCAACCAUCAUCCUCUAGUGCUGUGUUAGAGACAGAAUAUUGGAUCGCAUGGAUAAUUGGGCUGGCCCAGGGUGGCGUAUCUCACACAGAGUUAUAGUGACAGGAUGACAUGUUGAAUGGAGAAUCGUAAAUAUUGGGAAUGCCUGGAGAACGGAUUCUUAAUGAAAAUGCUUGCCGGGAUAGACGUGCUCUAACAUUCUGCCUCCGUCUCUACCUCUGUUCAUGUCUGGGCCAAUAAAGUUAUCUCACUGGACA